AGUGAACGCUGGCGGUAGGCCUAACACAUGCAAGUCGAACGGCAGCACAGUAAGAGCUUGCUCUUACGGGUGGCGAGUGGCGGACGGGUGAGGAAUACAUCGGAAUCUACUUUUUCGUGGGGGAUAACGUAGGGAAACUUACGCUAAUACCGCAUACGACCUACGGGUGAAAGCAGGGGAUCUUCGGACCUUGCGCGAUUGAAUGAGCCGAUGUCGGAUUAGCUAGUUGGCGGGGUAAAGGCCCACCAAGCCGACGAUCCGUAGCUGGUCUGAGAGGAUGAUCAGCCACACUGGAACUGAGACACGGUCCAGACUCCUACGGGAGGCAGCAGUGGGGAAUAUUGGACAAUGGGCGCAAGCCUGAUCCAGCCAUACCGCGUGGGUGAAGAAGGCCUUCGGGUUGUAGAGCCCUUUUGUUGGGAAAGAAAAGCAGCAGGUUAAUACCCCGCUGUUCUGACGGUACCCAAAGAAUAAGCACCGGCUAACUUCGUG
rnacentral:rRNA from 1 species